GAUGAACGCUGGCGGCGUGCCUAAUACAUGCAAGUCGAGCGAACGGACGAGGAGCUUGCUCCUCUGACGUUAGCGGCGGACGGGUGAGUAACACGUGGAUAACCUACCUAUAAGACUGGGAUAACUUCGGGAAACCGGAGCUAAUACCGGAUAAUAUAUUUAACCGCAUGGUUCAAUAGUGAAAGACGGUUUUGCUGUCACUUAUAGAUGGAUCCGCGCCGCAUUAGCUAGUUGGUAAGGUAACGGCUUACCAAGGCAACGAUGCGUAGCCGACCUGAGAGGGUGAUCGGCCACACUGGAACUGAGACACGGUCCAGACUCCUACGGGAGGCAGCAGUAGGGAAUCUUCCGCAAUGGGCGAAAGCCUGACGGAGCAACGCCGCGUGAGUGAUGAAGGUCUUCGGAUCGUAAAACUCUGUUAUUAGGGAAGAACAAAUGUGUAAGUAACUAUGCACGUCUUGACGGUACCUAAUCAGAAAGCCACGGCUAACUACGUG
rnacentral:rRNA from 1 species